CCUUUCAGAUGGAAGGAACUGAAAGGCCAUAUUUUCCAUUCUGUCAUCUUGUAGAUGAAGACACAGAAGCCGAGGAAGAGUUUGUCCUAGGCCAUUGCCCAGGAAUCUGUGAGAACAAAGUUCUCCCCGUGAUAUGUUGAGGGACACCGUUCUUCCAUGGCUCAGGACAUACUCCUGAGUCAAGCCAACAGGAAAUCUUUCUGCUUCCUGGCGUGGACCUAUACCCAAGGACCCUGAGAAAAGACGCAGAUGAGCAUGGCAAGUGUCCGUUGCAAGCUGGCCCGUUACCUGGAGGAUCUGGAGGAUGCAGACUUUAAGAAGUUCAAGAUGCACUUAGAAGACUAUCCUUCUCAGAAGGGGUGCAGCCCACUCCCUCGGAGUCAGACAGAGAAAGCCGACCACAUGGAUCUGGCCACUCUGAUGAUUGACUUCAACGGUGAGGAGAAGGCAUGGGCCAUGGCAGUGUGGAUUUUUGCUGCAAUCAACAGGAGAGACCUUUAUGAGAAAGCUAACAGGGAUGAACCAGAGUGGGAUAAUGCACAUGUGGUAUGCCAGGAAGAAAGCCUUGAAGAGGAGUGGAUGGGUUUAUUAGGGUACCUGUCCAAGAUUUCUAUUUGUAAAAAAAAGAAAGAUUACUGUAAGAAGUACAAAAAACACGUGAGGAGCAGAUUCCAGUGUAUUAAAGACAGGAAUGCCCGUCUGGGUGAGAGCGUGAACCUCAAUAAACGCUACACGAGGCUGCGUCUUGUCAAGGAGCACCAGAGCCAGCAGGAGAGGGAGCAUGAGCUCCUGGCCAUUGGCAGGACUUCAACCAAGACGCUGGACAGCCCCAUGAGUUCCCUGAAUAUGGAAUUUCUGUUUGAGCCUGACGACCAACACUCGGAGCCUGUUCACACAGUGGUAUUCCAGGGAGCAGCAGGCAUUGGGAAAACCAUACUAGCCAGGAAGAUCAUGUUGGACUGGGCAUCAGAGAAAAUUUACCGGGAUAGGUUUGACUAUUUGUUUUAUAUCCACUGUCGGGAGGUUAGCCUUGGGACGCGGAGGAGCCUGGGGGACCUGAUCGUCAGCUGCUGCCCUGACCCAAACCCACCCAUAUAUAAGAUUGUGAGCAAGCCUUCCAGGAUUCUCUUCCUCAUGGAUGGCUUCGAUGAGCUGCAGGGCGCCUUUGAUGAGCACACGGAGGCUCUCUGCACAAACUGGCGGAAGGUGGAGCGAGGAGACAUUCUCCUGAGCAGCCUCAUCAGAAAGAGGCUACUUCCUGAGGCCUCUUUACUCAUCACCACAAGACCUGUGGCCCUGGAAAAGCUGCAGCAUUUGCUGGACCGUCCCCGUCAUGUGGAGAUCCUGGGUUUCUCAGAGGCCAAAAGAAAGGAAUAUUUCUUCAAGUAUUUCUCCGAUGAGCAACAAGCCACAGAGGCCUUCAGGCUGAUUCAGGAGAAUGAGAUCCUUUUUACGAUGUGCUUUAUCCCCUUGGUCUGCUGGAUUGUGUGCACCGGGUUGAAGCAGCAGAUGGACAGUGGCAAGAGUCUUGCCCAGACAUCUAAGACCACCACUGCAGUGUAUGUCUUCUUCCUCUCCAGUUUGUUGCAAUCCUGCGGAGAGAACCAGAAGCACCAAGUCUCUGCCAACAUCCGGGGUCUCUGCUCGUUGGCUGCAGAUGGAAUCUGGAACCAGAAAAUCCUGUUUGAGGAGUGUGACCUUAGGAAUCAUGGCCUUCAGAGGGCCGAUGUGUCUGCUUUCUUGAGGAUGAACCUAUUCCAAAAGGAAGUGGACUGUGAGAAAUUCUACAGCUUCAUCCACAUGACUUUCCAGGAGUUCUUUGCUGCCAUGUACUACCUGCUGGAAGAGGAGGAACAGGGAGGGAUGAGGAACCUGCCAUGGAGUAGUUCCAAGCUUCCCAACCGAGAUGUGACCGUCCUUCUUGAAAACUACGGCAAAUUUGAAAAGGGGUAUCUGAUUUUUGUUGUACGUUUCCUCUUUGGCCUUGUAAACCAGGAGAGAACCUCCUACUUGGAGAAGAAACUGAGUUGCAAGAUCUCGCAGCAAAUCAGGCUGGAGCUGCUGAAAUGGAUUAAAGAGAAAGCCGAGGCCAAGAAUCUGCAGAUCCAGCCCAGCCAGCUGGAGUUGUUCUACUGUUUGUACGAGAUGCAAGAGGAGGACUUUGUGCGAAAGGCCAUGGGCCAUUUCCCCAAAAUUGAGAUCAGUCUCUCCACCAGAAUGGACCAUGUGGUUUCUUCCUUUUGUAUUGAGAACUGUCACACUGUGGAAUCACUUUCACUGAGGCUGCUUCACAACUCCCCGAAGGAAGAGGAGGAUGAGGAGGAGGAAGAGGAAGGGCAGCACUCUGAGGUGGAUCACUGUGUCCCCCUAGAUCCUCAUGCUGCCUAUACUCACCGGUUGGUGAAUUGUCAUGUCACUGUCAGCCUUUGGCAGGGUCUCUUCUCGGUCCUGAGCGCUAACUCACUGAACCUCACUGAACUGAACCUCAGUGACAAUGCUCUGGGGGACCCAGGGAUAAAGGUGUUAUGCGAAAUGCUCCAGCAUCCUGGCUGUAAUAUUCGGAGACUAUGGUUGGGGCAGUGUUGCCUUUCCCAUCAGUGCUGCUUCAACAUCUCCUCGGUCCUGAGCAGCAACCAGAAGCUGGUGGAAUUGGAUCUGAGCCACAACACCCUGGGAGACUUUGGAAUUAGACUUCUUUGUGUGGGGCUGAGACACCUAUUCUGCAAUCUGAAGAAGCUUUGGUUGGUCAGUUGCUGUCUCACAUCAGCAUGUUGUGAGGACCUUGCAUCCGUCCUGAGCACCAACCAGUCCCUGACCAGACUCUACUUGGGGGAAAAUGCCCUGGGAGACGCAGGAGUUGGAAUUUUAUGUGAAAAAGCAAAGCAUCCACAAUGUAAGCUGCAGAAACUGGGGUUGAUGAAUUCUGGCCUUACAUCAGGUUGCUGUCCAGCUCUGUCCUCAGUGCUCAGCACUAACCAGAAGCUCACACACCUUUACCUACGGGGCAAUGCUCUUGGAGACACGGGGGUGAAGCUACUCUGUGAGGGCCUCUUGCACCCCAACUGCAAGCUUCAGAUAUUAGAAUUAGAUGGCUGUGGCCUCACCUCACACUGCUGCUGGGAUCUUUCUACACUUCUGACUUCCAAUAAGAGCCUGCGGGAGCUGAGCCUGGGUAGUAAUGACCUGGAUGAUCUAGGGGUCAUGCUGCUCUGUGAAGUGCUAAAACAGCAGGGCUGCUGCCUAAAAAGCCUGAAGUUGUGUGAAAUGUAUUUCAAUUAUGAUACAAAAUGUGCAUUAGACACACUUCAAGAAGAAAAGCCUGAGUUGACCAUUGUCUUUGAGCCUUUUUGGUAGUGACAGACGUCGGCUGCCAGAAGCCAGCAUUUCGGCUCCCUGCCGUCCAGGUGUGGAUGAGGGGGAGUGAGCACUCCUCCAUCCUGGGUGAAGACCGUCACUCCACGAUGCCUCUGGUCCAGGGUGGGACAGCGAAAUCUUGCUGAUGAUGCACUUUAGAGAGAAUGUGAACAUCUGCUUGACCCGUGGCUUGAAGACACCAGGACAAUGAAAGCAUCCAAAUGAGGAGUUUAUCUUGGAUUUAUCUGAUCUCAGCAACAGUUCAUCUGCCGUAGUUCAUAUUAAUUGCCUCUCUGCACGUGGGACAACUCUUGAACCACAUGGGAUUGUUCAGGAUGGAAACACUGCUUCCUCUGUUAAGUGAGCCAUCCAGACUUCUGAUCAAAGCAUAACCUGUGGACUGUUGAUAUAAGGAGCUUGUGCAAGAAUGUAAAUCAAUCACAUUACUAAGUAUGCUUUUUAGAUACACUGUUUUUUUUCCCCACUUGGUAAGACUAUCUCAAUAAAGGAAGCAGUAUGUGAUCUAUA